AUUGAACGCUGGCGGCAGGCCUAACACAUGCAAGUCGAACGAGUGGCGGACGGGUGAGUAAUGUCUGGGAAACUGCCCGAUGGAGGGGGAUAACUACUGGAAACGGUAGCUAAUACCGCAUACCAUCGGAUGUGCCCAGAUGGGAUUAGCUAGUAGGUGGGGUAACGGCUCACCUAGGCGACGAUCCCUAGCUGGUCUGAGAGGAUGACCAGCCACAACUGAACUGAGACACGGUUGAGACUCCUACGUGACGCAGCAGUGGGGAAUAUUGCACAAUGGGCGCAAGCCUGAUGCAGCCAAUCCGGGGGUAUGAAGAAGGCCUUCGGGUUGUAAAGGACUUUAAGCGAGGAGGCGUUACUCGCAGAAGAAGCACCGGCUAACUCCGUGCCAGCAGCCGCGGUAAUAC
rnacentral:rRNA from 1 species